CUCUCUUUCUCUCUCUAGGAUCAUGUUCUUCCAUCGAGGCUCUCUUUUACGAGUCUCGUGUUGUUUCUUUUAGAAUCUCGGUUCUCGAUUACUGGGAAAACCCAGAAGUUACUGCAGAGAAGAACAAAGCAGAAGAAGAAGAACGCAAAUCUAACCGUGGGAUCUAUUGGCCAAAUCGACGGUAAAAUUUNUUUUUUUUUUUGUAGAGAGAUAAAAAGAUGAAAGAGUUUUGUUAUGAACUGACACACGCCAUAGAAGUUAGAAAAUCUGUGUUUUUCUGUUCAUCGGCCACCGUUCAUCUCAUCUCAUCGCACGCUUAUAUUAUAUCUCAAUAUUUUUUGUGUUACAUUUUAAUAAAUCUCUUACAUUAUGGUUUAAUGUAAAAAAUUUCAUUUUUUACGGGCGGAGCGGAGUAGAGAUUCUAGCAUUUGAUCGUGCUUUAAUGAAUUGAGUUGCCUCCGAGAGGUGGAGGACUUUGUCGA